CUAAAACACAUAAAGCUUGUGGAUACGUGAUAUUGUUGUGUUUUUUAAGACAUAAGUGUGGGCAAACAUGCAUCAAAAUUAUGCGUUGAGAAAGUCUUUUAAAAAGUACUAAGUUUGUGUGGUCUGUGGUGUUGAAUACUUUGUUUGUGGCUUUGUGAGCCAUUUGAUUGAGAAGAUUUGUGCAAGUUAGGGAAGGCUAAUAUUGAAGUUCUUUUUUAGGAGUCUCGUGUCAUUACGUGUGUUAUGGGUGAUUUGUUUGAUCAUCGUUCCAUUAUGGAUUUCUUGCUUCGAGACUGUCGGCAAUGGUUGACAUCUGAUACUGCUAUAUCUGUUUCCCCAUCUUAAAUUUAUUUGGCAGCAAGUAAGGGGGAGUACUUUGUUCCAACGUUUCCAAUUCACAUUUUUUUUGUUGCUUUUGUUUAUUCCUUUCACUAUUAAUGAAUCUCUAUAUUUUGGUUAAUGGAUCUCUACUGCUUUGUUACUUCUGGAUCUGGAUGUGGUUUGGCAGUUUUUGUUACUUAUUAUGUGGUUUGCUUUCGAAUUGUCGUUCAUUAUAACUAUCUAUAUGGCAGCUUCUGUUUCUAUACUUCUGGUUAUUGUUAUGCUUGUUUGCUCAAAUAAAGUAAGUUGGUCUCAAUGAGGAGUUUGUUAGUUAUGUGAUCCCACUUCCUUUAUUUGUUUUAAUAAAUGUAAUUCAGCUGGGAUUUUGUUAUUGAGAUUGUUUGGCUGCUUGUUAUGAUAUCUCAUUAUCAUUCUCGGGUGAUUUGGAUUGGAUUUCUCAAUUGAUGGUUACUUGAGAUUAUUGGAUGAAUAGUUUUAUGGGUGUUGAGAGAAAAAGGGAUUUUCAUUUUCUCGAUUUUGUGUGAUUGGCAAUAUAUUUAAACUUGUAGUAAGUUUCGUCGUGCUCCUUUAAGAACCUAUGGGUUAUGAUACCGCAUACUAAAGAUAAGAGAUUAAUUAAAAAGCAAUUCAAGAUGGCUUGACAAUGAUAUGCAAGUGGUCAUUUAUUCAGCGAGUCGAGUUGUCCUUAUUAAUGCUAUGACAAACUGCAUUUACAUAGUUCUUAGUUCUCAUGUUUAAUUUGUGAGUUAGUCCAUGGCCAGCAUGUUAAUUCAUGUUUAGAGUGUUGC
rnacentral:lncRNA from 1 species